UCUAGUGACUGAGCUCAUAUCAAGUGUCUAAAGAAGACAGUUUCUGAGGAUAGGGUCAUGAUGGUUGCUGAAGCUUCUACUCCAGAGCUGAAGGGCAGCAGCAUUCAGCAGACCACUGACACUUCCACACUGGUGGCCUGAAGGGUGGUGAAGGUGCUUUUAAGUGAGAGACAAUAGUACAGAAGGGAAGACUACAUGGAAGGCAUUUCUGGAAUACAGGAACUUCCUGCACAUCUUGGUUGCCAUAGGAGCCUGGUGUCAUUAGGGUGACCAUGACUGCUCUUCUUCUGGUGACUGAGCUUAUAACAGGUUUCUGGAGAAGAUAAUUUCUGAGGAUGUGGGUCAUGCUGGCUGCUGAAGCUUCUACUCCAGAUCUGAAGAGCAGCAGUUCUCAGGAGACCCCCAACACUUCCUCUCUGGGGUGGU